AAAUGAUGUAACUGCUAUUCUGUAAUAACCUCCUUUUGUCACUUAGGGUAAAUCGGGUGUAUUUCAGGUAUUUCCUCGAUCUUCGAUUAUAAAAAAGAUAGAAAGUAAUCAGGUUUACGUUAUAAAGGAAUGUGUAGAAAGUUUACCAAUUUGUUUUGUAUCAAGAAAAUGAAUCCUGUAACCCAAAUUUUCUGAAAGAGCAUUAUAAGACCUAUAUUUUUAUAUUUUAUCUAAAAAAUUUAACGUUUUUGUUUACGUCUUUAAUUGAUUUUUUUGUGCAUGCUUGUUUGAAUUAUUUAGUCAUUUGUAUUGUAUGUUGACACAAGUUUUGGCUGCUUAAUCCAAAUGAGAAGAUGUGACAUGAUUGCCUAUGAGAACAACUCCCCACAAAAGACAAAAUGACUAUUAUGUCUAUUUGUUUGCUCUACUAAUUGUGUCAAUACAACGGAAC
rnacentral:lncRNA from 1 species